UACGUAGGGGGCAAGCGUUGUCCGGAAUCAUUGGGCGUAAAGCGCGUGUAGGCGGCUCGGUAAGUCUGCUGUGAAAGUCCAGGGCUCAACCCUGGGAUGCCGGUGGAUACCGUCGAGCUCGAGUCCGGAAGAGGCGAGUGGAAUUCCUGGUGUAGCGGUGAAAUGCGCAGAUAUCAGGAGGAACACCAAUGGCGAAGGCAGCUCGCUGGGACGUGACUGACGCUGAGACGCGAAGGCGUGGGGAGCAAACAGG
rnacentral:rRNA from 1 species